UAAGACGUGUGCUCUUCCCAGCUCGCUGGCUUGGAGCCGGGCAUGGAAUGCGAGCGCCCAGUGGGCCACUUUUGGUAAGCAGAACUGGCGCUGCGGGAUGAACCGAACGCCGGGUUAAGGCGCCCGAUGCCGACGCUCAUCAGACACCAUAAAAGGUGUUGGUUGAUAUAGACAGCAGGACGGUGGCCAUGGAAGUCGGAAUCCGCUAAGGAGUGUGUAACAACUCACCUGCCGAAUCAACUAGCCCUGAAAAUGGAUGGCGCUGGAGCGUCGGGCCCAUACCUGGCCGUCGCCGGCACGUU